rnacentral:rRNA from 1 species
AGAGUUUGAUCCUGGCUCAGAAUCAACGCUGGCGGCGUGCCUCAGACAUGCAAGUCGAACGCGAAAUUUCCCUUCGGGGAGAAAGUAGAGUGGCGCACGGGUGAGUAACACGUAGGUAAUUUGCCUUUGGGUGGGGAAUAACUCAGGGAAACUUGAGCUAGUACCGCAUAAUGCAGCGGCUCGACAUCGAGACAGUUGUUAAAGCGGGGGAUCGCAAGACCUCGCGCCUGAAGAGAAGCCUGCGGCAGAUUAGCUAGUUGGUAAGGUAAUGGCUUACCAAGGCGACGAUCUGUAACCGGCCUGAGAGGGCGGUCGGUCACACUGACACUGACAUACGGGUCAGACUCCUACGGGAGGCAGCAGUCGGGAAUUUUGGGCAAUGGGCGCAAGCCUGACCCAGCAACGCCGCGUGAAGGAUGAAAUUUUUCGGAAUGUAAACUUCGCAAGAGUGGGAAGAAUAAGUAGGGGACAAUACCCCCUAUGAUGACGGUACCAUUUGUAAGCUCCGGCUAACUUCGUGCCAGCAGCCGCGGUAAUACGAGGGGAGCAAGCGUUGUUCGGAUUUACUGGGCGUAAAGGGCGCGUAGGCGGCGUGACAAGUCACUUGUGAAAUCUCCGGGCUUAACUCGGAACGGUCAAGUGAUACUGUCGUGCUAGAGUACAGAAGGGGCAACUGGAAUUCUCGGUGUAGCGGUGAAAUGCGUAGAUAUCGAGAGGAACACCUGCGGCGAAGGCGGGUUGCUGGGCUGAUACUGACGCUGAUGCGCGAAAGCCAGGGGAGCGAACGGGAUUAGAUACCCCGGUAGUCC